CAGUCGCCGCGGUAAUGCGGAAGGAGCUAGCGUUGUUCGGAAUUACUGGGCGUAAAGCGCACGUAGGCGGCUUUGUAAGUCAGAGGUGAAAGCCUGGAGCUCAACCCCAGAACUGCCUUUGAGACUGCAUCGCUUGAAUCCAGGAGAGGUGAGUGGAAUUCCGAGUGUAGAGGUGAAAUUCGUAGAUAUUCGGAAGAACACCAGUGGCGAAGGCGGCUCACUGGACUGGUAUUGACGCUGAGGUGCGAAAGCGUGGGGAGCAAACAGGAUUAGAGACCCCUGUAGUCCCUGUCUCUUAUAC
rnacentral:rRNA from 1 species